AAACGAAUGCAUGAAUAGUUUUAUGCUUGCGAAACAAAUGUUUAUAUCGGAUUUAUAUUCAAUAUUUGAUACAAUAUGUGUGCAUUAUUACUGGUACUAUGUCUCUGCUUUUCAAGCAUAGAAGGACAAAAAUUAGAACUACGGAAAUCUGAAGCAGAGGUCAAUGAGUUUGAGCCGUUGACACUGAUGUGUGAUACGGACUUUUCAUUUUUCAAUGAAAUAGACUGGAUCCGAAACAAUAAAUCUGAAUUGUAUACACAUUAUUGGUGUAAACAGAAGAUAGAGUCUGUGCACUAUAACAUCAGUUGCUUACCGCACCAGCAAUAUGAUAUGACCAUCAACAACGUAACACGGUUCAAUCAUGGUGAUCGUUGGCAUUGCCGUGGAGACAAUCAUUUUCAAAGCAACGAUGUACAAGUGCUCGUCAAAGUACCUAUAACGUCUGUUGAAUUGACGCAGCCACUCUCUAAGUUUGUGACUGUUUCUGAAGAAGACAAAGUGUACUUCGAAUGUGUUACGUCACCUGGAUACCCUGCAUCAGUUAUCACGUGGUGCAAGGUGACCAAUGGGAGUGAAGUUAUUAUAAGCGCAGACGGUUCUUCAAUUGGAGAGUUGAAUGACAAGACAAUCGUAACAACAAGUUGGUUGGCACUGAACUUCAGAAUUUCAGACGAUUGGACAUUCGUGUACUGCACAGCAAAUAACUCUGCGAGAAUUUUAACUUCGAGAAAUCGUGCUGCUGUUCAUGUUCACAAACAUAAUAAAGAAACAGACAACGUGAAAAUGGACAACAGCCGUGACGAUCCUACCUUAGCAAAGGCUGCGAUUACGUUGUCGACUAUAACUGGGACAACAUUAGUCUUUUUAAUUGUUGGCUAUUUUGUUAUCAAGAAACUGCGUUCGUCAAAAGCCAAUCAACGAGAGAAUGUACAUACCUCAGAAAGCGUGACUCAAGCAAACGACCAACAAACAGACAACACCAAGAGCACAGUGAAUUUGAAGGCCAGCACAGAAAAACAGCAGCUACACCACGUCACAAGUGUAUGAAAACACAACGCAAAGCGAGCCAUGCGAAGAUAACAACAUGGCGGAAGAAUCUUAGAAAUGUAAUUUGUCAUACAUUGCCUUUGUUGUUCAACUGCGCUCUUAACGUAUGAUGAGUGAGCAGUUUUACUAUGUGCCAUCAUGAAACUGUUACAACAAACAUUGAGUCUUGCUCAGUUUCAGUUUUAUUCCGGAACAAAGCCCAAAUGGGUAACAGUUUUAUUCAAGAACUUAGCCCAAAUGGGUAACAGUUUUAUUCAAGAACAAAGCCCAAAUGGGUAAUAGUUUUAAUCAAGAACUAAGCCCAAAUGGGUAACAGUUUUAUUCAAGAGCGAAGCCCAAAUGUGCUUAUAGAGUCGAACCCCGUUGGCUCGAACGCGUUUGGCUCGAAUUCAUCGGUGGCUCGAACUGGGGAUUUAGGACCCAAUUCAUUAUAAUGAAGAUCGAUACUGUUCUCAUCAGAAAGAGUCGGUGCACUAUAACAUCAGUUGUUUACCGUAUCGACAAUAUAAUUUGACCAUCAACAACGUAACACGGUUCAAUCAUGGAGAUCGUUGGCAUUGCCGUGGAGACAAUUAUUUUCAAAGCAACGAUGUACAAGUGCUCGUCAAAGUUCCUAUUUCCAACAUAACUCUUUUAACUGAAGACUCGUAUCUAGCUGUACCUGAAAAUAAAAGUGCGCGUUUGCAAUGUGUGUGCCACGGAGGGAUUCCGGCUGGACAAAUCAUGUGGCUCCACGACAAUGGAACACCGAAUGACGUCAGUGAUGAUGUCGUAAUACCUGAAAAUAACAAUGAAACAAUUACACACAAGGAUAACACAAUAGCAACAAAGAGUAACGUUACAUUCAAAGCAGUCGCUGCGCAUAUCGGAACUUCCGUCUACUGCAAGGCCACCAACAACAAUGUCAACUGGCUGUACAGCAAGUUUAUACUGAUCACUGUAUUGCUACCUUCAUCUUCUGUCGAGAUAACGCAGCCACGAACGGCAUCUGUCACUGCUUACGAAAAGGAGAAAUGUCUUUUCGAAUGUGUGACGUCACCUGGAUUACCCGCGUCGACGAUCACGUGGUACAAAAUAACCAAUGGAAGUGAGGUUGUUCUAAUCGCAAAUGGUUCAUCGAUUACGAAGUUAAAUAAUAAGACAAUCGUUUCCAGAAGUUGGUUAUCACUGGCCUUCAGCAUCGCAGAGGAUUGGACAUACGUUUAUUGCACUGCCAACAACUCUGUGAGGACGUUGACCUCGAGACGUCAAGUUGCAAUUCAUGUCCAUAAGCAUGCUCGAAUAACGGAAAGAAAUGAUGAUUCGACUUUAGCGAAGGCUGCCAUUGGGCUUUCGUCUGUCAUUGGAACAUCAUUUGUGUUUUUAAUUGUUGGAUAUUGUAUGAUCAAGAAAAUUCGUUCAUUAAAAGCCAAUCCUCAAGAGAAUGGACAGAAUUCAGGAUACGCCAAUCGAGCACACGACAAGAAAAAUGACAAUAACGGUACCGAAUCGAAGGCCAUCGCAGAAAGCAGCUACACCACGUUAAAGGUGUAUGAAAACACCAUGCCGAGCGAGGUUUACGAACCCAUACAGGCGACGGAAGCUUCUUAGACAUGUGAUAUGUUAUACAUUUUUUGUUUUUCAAAGUUUGCUGUAACCAAAUGAUGAUUGUGCAGUUUUACUACGUGUUAACAUGAAACUGUAUUAACAAACUGUUGACACUAAAUAACCAGCCUGGGGAAGAUUUGGUAAAUCGAGGAACUAUAUAUUAUUUUCUGCCAAAUUGUUCAAGUUAUGUUUGAAGUUGCCGAUUGCAUUGUUUACCAUAAACAAGAAAUUGGCAUUUCAUUGUUACUUAAUGAUCUUUGUUUAUUGCAAACUUAUAUUUAUAACUAUAAGCUUUUCAUUAUUUUCUGUCAUUAACUGCUGUGUCAUUGCACUUUUUUCAUAUUCGCGCGCUACUGAUUUCGAACUUGAACUGAUCAUAAUAAGACAUAUAGUAAACGCUUAACAUGUUGUACAUUUAGUCAAAUGACUUAAGGGGAAGCUCGAUAUCACAUGGAAUCCCUUAAGACAUUGAAGUACACUCAAAGUAUUGACUCACGGUGGGGUCAAGCCAUAUUGCAGUCAAUAGCGCGAAAUUCUAUAACAACAAAGCUCUGAACCAUUUCCAUCAUCCUUAUAUGUUGCCUUACGAAAUUAUCCUUAAAUGGCAUCGGAAUUGUUAAAUUAAUUGCUACGUCGUAUUAAGAUGCUGACAGUUAAGCCCAGGUCACACCAACAUUGCGACCAAGAUGGGACCUCUUCUUGAUGAAAAGUUCAUAGGUCUUUGAAUGUGCGUGAAGUUAGCAGCAUCGCAGCAAGCUGCCAGCCGCAACAGCAGCUAGCUGCUAUGAUGCUAACAGCUAGCUACUACAUUUUAACUAUGAAUAUAGUAAUAUAUAUUUACUGUAUACUACUUUAGUUUAUCGUUGCAUGCUUUCUAGUUGUUUAUAGGAAUAUAAAUAGGGGUGAGAAAAAAGGAGAUUUUACUGUUUUAGCUUAAUCGGUAAAAUUUUGCUUACGAUAUGUUUUUUCAUAAGCAGCCCACCAAUGCAAUCAUUUUGAUGUGAAAGGCCAAUUUCACAUCGUACAAAACAGGGGCAACGGGACCAUACCAACUAAGUAAUCUUUAUUCAUAGUAUCGAAAUCGCAAUGCCACAAAUUUUGCAUUGUCUGGCGGAUAACCAUUAUUAAUAUAUAUGAUAAAUGUUUAAAAUCCCAUGCGGACGACCUAACCCCAAAAUUCGACUAAGAGGACAAUAAUGAAAAGUGUAGGGAUGAAUUAGGCCACGAGGCCUACACUAUGAGUUAAUUAGAUCGCUGGAGGUUUUAACCUGAGUAGCCAAAAAUAGAACCUGAAAAUUCGACUAAGGUGACAUUAACGGAAAGAAAUGUUGAGCAUGCAUCGCUUAAUACUUUCUGAUGACUCAUGUUCUUAGCAUUGACACGUUCGCUUGAAAUUAUCGUGGUUAUUACCAUUAUGCUAGAGUGGUAGGCAUUUGGAAUCAUUUCAACCUCACAUAUGAUAUUGUGUUGGGAAAACUCUGGUCUAUGCAUAAACAUUCCUUUAUUCAUCGCUAAGGUGUUUGAGCACGCACCAUAAAAUAUUAUUUCGGUAAAUAAAAUGUAAAUUAUUUGUAAAUAAUGUAUUUUAAUUGUAUGUAUAAAAAUUUGAAUAGUUGAAAUUUGGUCAAAAUUACCAAAAAAAGAGAGGGAAGAAAACGCAUUUAGAUAGUAUUUAUAACUGAAUUCCAGGCAUAUGCAGAGAUCUAUUCUACUUGUCAAUGGAGAACACUGAGUAGGAGAGUGAUUAACACCGGCUAGCAGACAACAGGUUUGAAGCUAAGGGACAGAUUUGAAAUUCUAGCACAGUUUCGAAUUAGAAUUGCCCAAAAUAAAAGAAGCAGUAGGAAAAUAGUACUUGUUCAACAAAAACAAUAGCUUUAUAUUUUUAGGGACAGAUAUUGCCGAAAUUUACCUCCGAUAGAAAUAUGAGAUCCCCGAUUCGCAUCUAACGAUGAACAAGCUAGUGAUGACCAAAGAGGGCUGUUUCAGUACAGUUUGAUUAUAUUUGUUGAACAUGUGAUCAAUACUGUAUUAAUCUGAAAGUUUAUAUAGUGUUUGUUACUCUGAUACCAAAUUAUACCAAAAUGUUGAAAAAAAAUGAAUACAAGAUUUUUUCUGGUUGCUUGGGUGAUUUCGUUUUAAUCAAUAAUGCUGAAAUGGGGUUAUAGUGCAAUUCAAGUUUAAAUAAAAUUGUUAUUUGGCAAUAAAUUCCUUUUAAAUUUUGUAAUUAAAUCCAGGAAAUGAAACACAUUAAAAAUAUCAAGCUGAUCAUGGAUGGAUGGAAGGAUGGAUCUGGAUGGAAAUAAUAAUUAGAAUAAAUCAUUAAGUGUCAAUCAACUUUAUAUGUUAUGUUUGUUGUAUUUGUUACUUUAUUUGAGUAGUGUGCGUUUUCAUCGUUGUAUUUAUUACGCAAUGUUAAUAUUGUGUAUAUUUAUUUGAAUGUUUACUAGAUCUAUAGAAAUAGAGAAAAUGUAGUGUAUUUGCAGUAUGACACAACUUACUAUGAUAGGUAUUACAUGUAUCGUUAUUAUUUUCUUUUCAGAACUGUUUAAACAGUUAUUAUGUGCCUUCUCUAAAUCAUGUAUGUAUAUGUAUGCACCACUGUAAAUAUUUCCAUAUAUUGUGUGUGUCCUUAUGGGCCGUAUGGCUUAUUAGAUUUUGAAAAUAAACAUUCUUCCUUAUGUUAUACAGUCAAACCCCGUUGGCUCGUAAUCGCUUUGCUCGAAUCCCUUGUUGGCUCGAACUAGAUGUAAAGGACCGAUUCCUUAAUACUAAAGGUAAACACUCCCGCUUGGCUCGAAUUUUCGAUGCUCGAAAUAUUUUCGCAGGUCCCAGGGAGUCCGAGCCAUCGGGGUUCGACUGUAUGUAAUGUGCAUUACUCUCGUAUAAACACUGCGUAGCAGGUAUUUGUCGUAUUUGCAUAUUUAAAAAACAACAACAAAAUUGUUAGUCUGAAUUAAAGACAAGUUACUUCAGGAUUAUAAAUAGUAUGACUUCUGAACAUUUGAACCAUUUUAUCUCAUUAAUAUAGAAUGUCUAUGUGUUAAACGAUUUCUUUGAAGCAUGUUUAAAAUACAUUAAUUUUCGUACACAAUAUAAUGUUAAAUAUGCAAUUAUCAAUUAAAAAUUAUAUUAUUGGUAUGCUAUUAAUGUGCUGUAAUUGCAUAUAUUUGUAUGAACAUGUACAUAUGUUUUCUACUUGUCGCGAUUUUGUAUGAUAUACGGCCAUAUCAGUCUAUGAUCUUCUGGGAAAUAAAUGUUCUAUU